GGUUAAGCGACUAAGCGUACACGGUGGAUGCCCUGGCAGUCAGAGGCGAUGAAGGACGUGCUAAUCUGCGAUAAGCGUCGGUAAGGUGAUAUGAACCGUUAUAACCGGCGAUUUCCGAAUGGGGAAACCCAGUGUGUUUCGACACACUAUCAUUAACUGAAUCCAUAGGUUAAUGAGGCGAACCGGGGGAACUGAAACAUCUAAGUACCCCGAGGAAAAGAAAUCAACCGAGAUUCCCCCAGUAGCGGCGAGCGAACGGGGAGCAGCCCAGAGCCUGAAUCAGUGUGUGUGUUAGUGGAAGCGUCUGGAAAGGCGCGCGAUACAGGGUGACAGCCCCGUACACAAAAAUGCACAUGCUGUGAGCUCGAUGAGUAGGGCGGGACACGUGGUAUCCUGUCUGAAUAUGGGGGGACCAUCCUCCAAGGCUAAAUACUCCUGACUGACCGAUAGUGAACCAGUACCGUGAGGGAAAGGCGAAAAGAACCCCGGCGAGGGGAGUGAAAAAGAACCUGAAACCGUGUACGUACAAGCAGUGGGAGCACGCUUAGGCGUGUGACUGCGUACCUUUUGUAUAAUGGGUCAGCGACUUAUAUUCUGUAGCAAGGUUAACCGAAUAGGGGAGCCGAAGGGAAACCGAGUCUUAACUGGGCGUUAAGUUGCAGGGUAUAGACCCGAAACCCGGUGAUCUAGCCAUGGGCAGGUUGAAGGUUGGGUAACACUAACUGGAGGACCGAACCGACUAAUGUUGAAAAAUUAGCGGAUGACUUGUGGCUGGGGGUGAAAGGCCAAUCAAACCGGGAGAUAGCUGGUUCUCCCCGAAAGCUAUUUAGGUAGCGCCUCGUGAAUUCAUCUCCGGGGGUAGAGCACUGUUUCGGCAAGGGGGUCAUCCCGACUUACCAACCCGAUGCAAACUGCGAAUACCGGAGAAUGUUAUCACGGGAGACACACGGCGGGUGCUAACGUCCGUCGUGAAGAGGGAAACAACCCAGACCGCCAGCUAAGGUCCCAAAGUCAUGGUUAAGUGGGAAACGAUGUGGGAAGGCCCAGACAGCCAGGAUGUUGGCUUAGAAGCAGCCAUCAUUUAAAGAAAGCGUAAUAGCUCACUGGUCGAGUCGGCCUGCGCGGAAGAUGUAACGGGGCUAAACCAUGCACCGAAGCUGCGGCAGCGACACUAUGUGUUGUUGGGUAGGGGAGCGUUCUGUAAGCCUGUGAAGGUGUGCUGUGAGGCAUGCUGGAGGUAUCAGAAGUGCGAAUGCUGACAUAAGUAACGAUAAAGCGGGUGAAAAGCCCGCUCGCCGGAAGACCAAGGGUUCCUGUCCAACGUUAAUCGGGGCAGGGUGAGUCGACCCCUAAGGCGAGGCCGAAAGGCGUAGUCGAUGGGAAACAGGUUAAUAUUCCUGUACUUGGUGUUACUGCGAAGGGGGGACGGAGAAGGCUAUGUUGGCCGGGCGACGGUUGUCCCGGUUUAAGCGUGUAGGCUGGUUUUCCAGGCAAAUCCGGAAAAUCAAGGCUGAGGCGUGAUGACGAGGCACUACGGUGCUGAAGCAACAAAUGCCCUGCUUCCAGGAAAAGCCUCUAAGCAUCAGGUAACAUCAAAUCGUACCCCAAACCGACACAGGUGGUCAGGUAGAGAAUACCAAGGCGCUUGAGAGAACUCGGGUGAAGGAACUAGGCAAAAUGGUGCCGUAACUUCGGGAGAAGGCACGCUGAUAUGUAGGUGAAGUCCCUCGCGGAUGGAGCUGAAAUCAGUCGAAGAUACCAGCUGGCUGCAACUGUUUAUUAAAAACACAGCACUGUGCAAACACGAAAGUGGACGUAUACGGUGUGACGCCUGCCCGGUGCCGGAAGGUUAAUUGAUGGGGUUAGCGCAAGCGAAGCUCUUGAUCGAAGCCCCGGUAAACGGCGGCCGUAACUAUAACGGUCCUAAGGUAGCGAAAUUCCUUGUCGGGUAAGUUCCGACCUGCACGAAUGGCGUAAUGAUGGCCAGGCUGUCUCCACCCGAGACUCAGUGAAAUUGAACUCGCUGUGAAGAUGCAGUGUACCCGCGGCAAGACGGAAAGACCCCGUGAACCUUUACUAUAGCUUGACACUGAACAUUGAGCCUUGAUGUGUAGGAUAGGUGGGAGGCUUUGAAGUGUGGACGCCAGUCUGCAUGGAGCCGACCUUGAAAUACCACCCUUUAAUGUUUGAUGUUCUAACGUUGACCCGUGAUCCGGGUUGCGGACAGUGUCUGGUGGGUAGUUUGACUGGGGCGGUCUCCUCCUAAAGAGUAACGGAGGAGCACGAAGGUUGGCUAAUCCUGGUCGGACAUCAGGAGGUUAGUGCAAUGGCAUAAGCCAGCUUGACUGCGAGCGUGACGGCGCGAGCAGGUGCGAAAGCAGGUCAUAGUGAUCCGGUGGUUCUGAAUGGAAGGGCCAUCGCUCAACGGAUAAAAGGUACUCCGGGGAUAACAGGCUGAUACCGCCCAAGAGUUCAUAUCGACGGCGGUGUUUGGCACCUCGAUGUCGGCUCAUCACAUCCUGGGGCUGAAGUAGGUCCCAAGGGUAUGGCUGUUCGCCAUUUAAAGUGGUACGCGAGCUGGGUUUAGAACGUCGUGAGACAGUUCGGUCCCUAUCUGCCGUGGGCGCUGGAGAACUGAGGGGGGCUGCUCCUAGUACGAGAGGACCGGAGUGGACGCAUCACUGGUGUUCGGGUUGUCAUGCCAAUGGCACUGCCCGGUAGCUAAAUGCGGAAGAGAUAAGUGCUGAAAGCAUCUAAGCACGAAACUUGCCCCGAGAUGAGUUCUCCCUGACCCUUUAAGGGUCCUGAAGGAACGUUGAAGACGACGACGUUGAUAGGCCGGGUGUGUAAGCGCAGCGAUGCGUUGAGCUAACCGGUACUAAUGAACCGUGAGGCUUAACCUU
rnacentral:rRNA from 1 species